GACGAACGCUGGCGGCGUGCUUAACACAUGCAAGUCGAACGGAAAGGCCCUGCUUUUGUGGGGUGCUCGAGUGGCGAACGGGUGGGUAACACGUGAGUAACCUGCCCUUGACUUUGGGAUAACUUCAGGAAACUGGGGCUAAUACCGGAUAGGAGCUCCUGCUGCAUGGUGGGGGUUGGAAAGUUUCGGCGGUUGGGGAUGGACUCGCGGCUUAUCAGCUUGUUGGUGGGGUAGUGGCUUACCAAGGCUUUGACGGGUAGCCGGCCUGAGGGGGUGACCGGCCACAUUGGGACUGAGAUACGGCCCAGACUCCUACGGGAGGCAGCAGUGGGGAAUAUUGCACAAUGGGCGGAAGCCUGAUGCAGCAACGCCGCGUGCGGGAUGACGGCCUUCGGGUUGUAAACCGCUUUCGCCUGUGACGAAGCGUGAGUGACGGUAAUGGGUAAAGAAGCACCGGCUAACUACGU
rnacentral:rRNA from 1 species